UAAAAUAAUUAAGGGCACACAAAGGAUGCCUAGGUAGUAAGAGCCGAUGAAGGACGUGGUAAGCUGCGAUAAGCCUAGAUAAGUUGCAAUCGAACGUAAGAGUCUAGGAUUUCCGAAUGGAGCAAUCUAUUAAGAUGGAGUCUUAAUACGAAAGAGGGAACCGCGUGAACUGAAACAUCUAAGUAACGCGAGGAAAAGAAAGUAAAAACGAUACCCAAAGUAGCGGCGAGCGAAAUGGGUCAAGCCUAAACCUUAAAUAUGUCAAGGAUACAGCCGUUGUAUUUAGGGGGUUGAGGGACAGAGUAGUGAAGAACUGUAAGAUAUUCAAUAUAGUGUAUUGAUGAAUUGGAAUUGUCUGGAAAGGCGAACCGUAGAAGGUGAAAGUCCUGUACAAGUAAAUCCUUACACAUAUAACUCUGCUCCCAAGUAACAUGGAACACGAGGAAUUCUGUGUGAAUCUGUGAGGACCAUAUCUCAUAAGGCUAAAUACUCUUACUAACCGAUAGCGCAUAGUACCGUGAGGGAAAGGUGAAAAGAACCCCUGGAGGGGAGUGAAAUAGAACCUGAAAUUGUGUGCUUACAAGCGGUCAGAGCCAGUGAUGGUGAUGGCGUGCCUUUUGGAGAAUGAUCCUGCGAGUUACGUUAAACGGCGAGGUUAAGUAUAACGGAGCCGAAGGGAAACCAAGUCUUAAUAGGGCGAUUUAGUCGUUUGGCGUAGACGCGAAACCUGGUGAUCUAAACCUGUCCAGGAUGAAGCUGUGGUAAGACACAGUGGAGGUCCUAACCCACCGCCGUUGAAAAGUUGGGGGAUGAGGUAGGUUUAGGGGUGAAAAGCCAAUCGAACCAGGAGAUAGCUCGUUCUCUCCGAAAUGCAUCUAGGUGCAGCCUUGAGUGUUCAAUUAUGGGGGUAGAGCACUGAAUGAUCUAGGGGGCGUAUUGCUUACUGAAAUCAAUCAAACUCCGAAUACCAUAAUUUAUAGCUCAGGAGUGAGACUAUGGGAGUUAACUUCCAUUGUCGAAAGGGAAACAACCCAGACCACCAGCUAAGGUCCCUAAUUAUAACUAAGUGGGAAAGGAGGUGGAGAUUCACAAACAACUAGGAGGUUGGCUUAGAAGCAGCCAUACCUUUAAAGAGUGCGUAAUAGCUCACUAGUCGAGAGUCUCUGCGCCGACAAUGUAACGGGGCUAAGUUAUAAACCGAAGCUGUGGAAUCCGUAAGGAUUGGUAGGAGAGCGUUCUGUAGGCCGUUGAAGGAGAAGGGUAACCGACUCUGGAGGUAUCAGAAGUGAGAAUGCAGGAAUAAGUAGCGAGAAAGGGGGCGAGAAUCCCCCUCGCCGGAAGACCAAGGUUUUCAGGGUAAAGCUUGUCUUCCCUGAGUAAGCCGGGACCUAAGCCCAGGCUAUAAUGCGUAGGCGAAUGGAAAACAGAUUAAUAUUUCUGUGCCAGUCAUAUAUUGUGAUGGAGGGACGCAGAAGGGUAUGCGCGCGGACGAACGGAAGUGUCCGUAGAAGUAUGUAGGAUGACUUGAUAGGAAAAUCCAUUGAGUUAUAUCUGAGGUAUGAUAUACAGUCGUAAGAUGAAUGCGCAAAUCCCACGCUGCCAAGAAAAGCUUCUAACGUUAAUAUUUGACUGCCCGUACUGCAAACCGACACAGGUGGUCAGGAUGAGAAAUCUAAGGCGGACAGGCUAACUCUCGUUAAGGAACUCUGCAAAAUAACCUCGUAACUUCGGGAGAAGAGGAGCCCUUGAGGGUCAGUAUCCACGCGAUACAAAGCGCUCGAGGGUCGCAGUGAAGAGGCUCAAGCAACUGUUUAACAAAAACACAGGUCUAUGCUAAGCUGGAAGGCGAUGUAUAUGGGCUGACACCUGCCCAGUGCUGGAAGGUUAAGAGGAGGAGUGAGAGCUCCGAAUUGAAGCCCCAGUGAACGGCGGCCGUAACUAUAACGGUCCUAAGGUAGCGAAAUUCCUUGUCGGGUAA
rnacentral:rRNA from 1 species